AGGAAGUGGAGCCAUCGGUCGAGGAAGACAGGGAGACGCCGGGAGUGGCAGGGGCCGUGGGAGGCAGGGAGACAGGAGCCCGCCCGGCGACCGAAGAAGAAGUCGAGAUUCCUCAGCUCUGGUUUUUAAGUCUAGAAGUGUCACCAUCACAGCAGAAGAUGGAGGACAAGAAGAUGAAAGACAGGACACGCCUAGAUUCCUUCAUCUUGCCUCUUGAACCCCCAUUCUAAAACCCCAAAAUUCUACUUUUUCACCUGGUGAUAAAUUCACUAUCAUUC